CGAGAGUACUCGUAAGCUGGCAAUGAAAUUGUAGUUCUGAGCUGGCGACGGUGUCGGAGAGCUCAUCGUCUUGGCGCCCUGUGAGGCCACCUGCUCGUAGCUGAUUUAAUUAUGCCUGACAUGCGCACAGCGCACAGCACGGAUCGUCUGGGCCCCGACCCUCAGCUCGGGGUGGCAGUCACCAGUCAAUGGCAGCGCUGUGGCAAGUUGUCACGCGACUCUCCGCCAUCCCUCAUCUUGCACUCGGAAAGCUGAGCUCAUCGUCUCAGCGGAGAUGACGUAAGAUAGGCAGGAUGCCAGCCAAGCGGUGGCCAUUAGCCGAGCGCAUGCUGGCUCAGAGCCGCUCAUCAUCGUCUUUAAUGACAAACAUUAAAAAGUACAUAUCUCGA